UACGUAGGCGGUUAAAUAAGUCAGAUGUGAAAGCCCGAGGCUCAACCUCGGGAUUGCAUUUGAAACUGUUUAACUAGAGUACAGGAGAGGAAAGCGGAAUUCCUAGUGUAGCGGUGAAAUGCGUAGAUAUUAGGAAGAACACCAGUGGCGAAGGCGGCUUUCCGGACUGUAACUGACGCUGAGGUACGAAAGCGUGGGGAGCGAACA
rnacentral:rRNA from 1 species